CUUUUUUUUUUUUUUUUUUUUUUUUUUUUUUUUUUUUUCCCGUCGCGAGAAAUCUUGACAAAUGCAGUAA
rnacentral:ribozyme from 1 species